AUAUUAUAUGAAAGGAGAGAAGUCCAGGACUGUCCUUGACAAAGAUGAGCAAUGCCGUUGGGCCUGACAACGUGCAUGUGGGUGAGGCUUUGCCACCUACUUCUUGGCAUCUGUCCAUUCAUCCCU
ensembl:snRNA